AGAACGCAUCUGACCGAGAACGGAAGUAAGACCCGUAAGUGUUUUAUCGAGACUGCAUCGGACCAGACUUGUGUGGACUUGGGGCGGACAAAUAACCCAUAAUGCUUUUCGCGCCGACCAGCAGGAAAGGCCGAGGAGGAAACUUUCAGAGGGAAAUCUGAAGAAACCCCGGAUCCUCACUGACUGCUGGAAGACUCCACAGACAACAUCAGCAGCUCCAUCUUCAGCAUCUGGACCAGCAUGAUGCUGUUCAUGAAAACUGAAGGAUAGAAAAUGCUGAAAUGUAUUUAAGCAUUUUGCAUUAAAUAUUUUUCAAUUGUGUUCAAAAAAUGGAUUGAAUUGUUGAAGCCAGAAGUAAAUGUUCCUCUAACAUCAGACCUGUUUGAUCAGAUGCUGCUGAUGUUUGAAAAGGUUUCUGUUUUAUUACCUGACAGUCAGAAGAAGAGCUCACCUGUACAAGCUCACCCGUAUUCAGGUUCUGAGUACAGUAGUUGACAUGAAAUAUUCUCUCUUAAAUCAGUGAUGAUGUUAAGCAUACAGAAGCCCUGGUGAUCACAUCACAAGUGUAGUGAUGUUUGUGUAUCUGUCAGACUAUAAACCUCUGGAUAUUGGAGGACAAACAUCAGGUAUGUAUGUAGAAUGUAGACUAAUGUAUUUUAGUAAUGUUAAUAAUAAAACUGUAAACCAUCCAUCCCUG